GUCUUAUCAGCAGCACAUAUGCUAACAUUGGAAUGAAACAGAGGAGAUUAGCAUAAUCCCUGCACAAAGAUGACAGUCAAAUUUGUGGUGUUCCAUUUUUUUUU